CCCAGCUCAAACAUUCUGUUAUUCAGAGCUAGAUCUGAGUCACAUUUUUACCAACUUGGAAUAGGAACCAGGCAACCUACAAGUGUUAGCAAGAAAAACAUUUGCUGACCCCUGAUCUAGAAGGUAAGCUCUACAAGAGCAAGAACAGCACCUUUUCAGCUUGUUGUCACUGGCAGCCUGGCACACGGCCUAGCUCAUUGCAGGUGCAAAAUAAUCAUUUGUUAAUUUAAGGAAGAAACGUAUUAUGAAAAUGUGAGUUUGCUGUGAAAAGAAUGACUGAAAGAAUUUAAAACAUCACCUUGGGAUCAUGACUGUACAUUUUCCAAAGGCCAUGGCCAUUGAAAAAAAUGCUGUCUGCCUUUUUUAGACUGAUAAAGGAAGAAGAUUGCAGGUCUCACAUGAGUCCAUGGUAUCUACAUGAGACCAAUAAAAUGCAAAGAGUUUUUAAAGGCAUGAAUUAACUAAUGUAAUUCACCAUUUGUCAGGCUUAUUAUUUCCUUUUAGGCACAUAACAUGUGGCCUUUGAGCUACACAGUUCAGUCUUUGAGGUAUGCUUAUAGUUAAGUCACCAAAACUGAUGAAUUUGAUCAGAAGAUUUACACCUGUUUGUGGGGAAGGCACUUAUUAUCUCCUUAUACUGUUAUGUCACUUGUUCAAGAGAAGAAUUAUUGAAAACAGGAAUGAGAAGAUUCAAACUUUGAAGUUGGAUGUAGUUUUGAAAUUUUGGUUACACCAAUGAAGCUUUCAGUUUAAAUGGACUCUUUGGCAAAUAUUCUGUAAGGUGAAAAAUGUCCUUUGAUAAUAUAAGCUUCUAAAUUGAUAGCUAAAAUUUGCCUUUCUCCAAGGGAGGGAUAAUUUUAUCAUUCUGGAGCCUGAAGAAUAAUUUCCAGGGAACGUGGUUGGUACUGGGAGGAUGAGAAGAAAUAGUAAUGAAAGCAGAGUUUGGAGCCAGAAAAACUGCAUUUGAGUCUCUGGGCCAGGAACAAUUUAAUUAUCCUUGCUGUGGCUCAUCUGAAAUGAGAAAAUGAUUCCUGUCUCGCGAGGAUGUUCUGAGGAUGAAAUAAGGCUGGAGAGUGCUUAGGACAUAGUAUACGCUCAUAGACAUUCAUCAAAUGUUAGUGCCCUUUCCUUGGACCAAAAGACAAAGGAAAUAGAGGAAAAAACAAGUCUCAUGGAGAAACAGAUUAAACAGAUACAAGUAAGAUGAAAGGCUAAUGUGCUGUUCUCGUGUUAUAAUUCCAAUUGCUCAUGUUUUCAACUGAGAAAAAAAUUCACCUGCCUGGAUCUGGAACAAAUUCCGGAACAAGGUUCUGAUGAAAUGAGGUGAGAGUGGACCUCCUUGAUCUGGUACAGAAACAAAAUAACUCAUUGGAUUGUGAAAUUGGAAUCCAUCUGGAGCACACGUACACCAAAAGAUGGAUGAAGGAGUCAACUGGACUAGAUUUCCCUUAGUUGCUCACAGGCAAAAGCAUGGAAGAAUGGCCUAACCUGGAGAUUGAUUUGGAACUCUCCUUGGUGCUGAGACAGCACCUGAGGGAAUGUUCCCUACAUGUUGCUCAUCUAAGUGCCCCUGAUGGGUUGCACUAGAGCAGUAAUUUCCACAGUGGGUUGUGUACCAUGGGGGUGCAGGACAUUAUUUUAUAAGGAACAAGGACACGAAUAAGUUUGAAUUCAUGGUGAGAAAGUUAUUCCUUUUGAAAGUCCUCAUCUCCACUCUUCACCAUCAGCAUUCGUGUGGCUGUCAGAACCCUAAUGAUCCCAUCUCCUUCUCCUUCUCUCAAUUUUGUCUUCAUACUUUUUUUAUUUUAAAGAGAUGAAGCCUCUAGCUAUCUUUACUCUUUUAUCUUAAUUUUGCCUGCAUCUCUGGUUGCUAGCUUUGGGGGAUUCCUGCGCUGGUUUUCAUUUGAGAGAUCUAAUGCAUACCCUGAUAGAAAGCACAAAAGUAUGAUUUCAUUCUACUCUUUUGCUCUAUUUUUGACUCCUCCAUUGGACAUUUGCUUCAGUUGAACCAUUCCACUCAGUAAUACCAACGUCAGCUCACAGAAAGUGAGGGCUAACUGUGACUUUCUUAAAUGUGCUUUCAGCUACUGCUUAUUAUCUACAGUUUGCAGUUCCAUUUACAACUGAUAAUGGAAAUGCCAACAUGCCAGGGAGAAUGGUGCUGUUCUAAUAGCUUCCUCUGUCCUAGAAACAGAACAAUUAAAGCACUAGAGCCUCUU